ACUCCCCCUUGGUUUACCUGCUUUCUUCCUAUGCGUUUACAAAUCUCUUCUUGUACUUUCUUCCUUUUUUGGGGGUCUUUAAAGAUUUAUGCCCACAGCCAAAUAGCAAAUACUGAAUGUUUUUCUAGCACUGACCAUGCAUAGGCUUCUGCGUUAAGUUUAACCUUCAGGGUAGGAGUGAUUGAUAUCCUGCGUAUUGUAGCCCAGGGUGUGAUCUAAAAAUGAAGUUGUACAUCCCCUCUUGAGGAAUCCUAAGAGCCAGGGGUAUGCUCUGGACAAGGGAGAUUAAGCUAUCUAUCUGUAAACAUGACACUUCUCUGAAUGACGAUGGACAGUUGUACUCUGUGGUAACCAACUAUUUACUUCUGUGGUUUUGAAGGGUUGUGCCUGUCCAAUUCACUGAACAUCCUUUUGUUGUUAUAAGAAAUCCUAACCAAGAAUUCUCAUUUUACCACAUGCAGAAUUUCAUAUAGUUCCAUCAUCUUCACCUUCCUUUAUCACAAUUUUGCUAUUUGCUCUUUUUGAGACAGUUCUGAUCUCAGUGCCUAUGGAUAACAACAUUUCUGUGGAUGGAUACAGUGUUAAUUUAAUUAAAGGCUGUUUGAGUUCUUAAGAGAAACAAGACUAAACUCUUUAGAGACUUAACUUUAAAAAUAAAAUUGUCCUAAACAUGCAUGAAUCAAAUGCCUACUUCAUAAAAAUAAGUUACUGCCUUUGGAAAAGAAACAAAUGCAAAUGCUAGUUACCAUGCUUGAAAUAGGUGACAAGAAAUGCCAGCAUCUUGGCUCUUGUUGCAGCUUUAUUGUCACAAAUUGUUAGUUAUGUCUGAAAAUUAUGGAUCUCUCUCAUUGUGCAAGUUGUGUCUGCCAGUUGGUGCCUGUACACUAGAGUGAGCUUACCCAAUUAACAGAAUUUUCCAUGCAGGACCCAGAAUAAGUCUGCGUGCUUCCUAAACCUUACCACAGCUGAGGUUCCUCCUUGGACUCUGGUGAUCUGGAAGAAUGGCGUUACCAGUUUUCCCUGACAGAUGUACUCUGCCUCAACCACAAGCAAACUACGCAGCAGACAGAACAAUAUUUUUUAACCCCAGAGUGCUCAUCAGAUUAAACAAGCCAUGGAAACAAUGAUGUUUAUGUGCUACUUGUAAUCUUCAUCACUGGCCAUCUCAAGCUGUUUGCAUCUCUCUUCAGGCAACUGAGUGUAACUUUCCUGGGAAGAGCUGUGUACUAUCCAAGCCACAUCUAAUGCUCAUGGUACGAUGACAGGAGUGCCAUCAGGAGUUCUGGUUUCACAACCCAGUACUGUGAAAAACAUGCUGAACACAACAGAGAAAUGAAGAGACGUGCUAUUGCUGUUUUGAAAGGUAAAGGGAGAAUUAGAAGCAAAUUCUGCCUGAUUAGAGACUUCAGGAAUUGAACUACUCUCUCCUCUGCAGAAGGAGAGAGAUUGUUUCAGUGUUUUACGUGCCAGUGAUACUUGACAAACCUGAUGAGCUGAGGCUUUUUAUAAAGACAAAGGUCCUUGGAUAUUGGUGUUUUCUUCUAUUUAGAGUAGCUGCUAGCCUCAGCUGAAGAUGGUCAGUGUAACUCUCUCUUUCCUAUGAAAUUAAAUUAAAAUCAGCUCAUGCCGAGAUGCAGAACCCAUGUUUCAGAGGCUCCUGUUUGCAUCCAUAUACAAACUUUAUCAUGCAUCUAUAUCAAGAGCCUCAUUUCCUACUUAGUUCUAGAGCUUCCAUCCAAGCUGGCUAGAGCUUUCUACAUUCCAGUUUCCACUCUCUAGCUUGAGGUACAGGACCUGUAGCAGUUCCCUAAACCCAGCUCUGGUACAACUUCUCCUAUCUGUCAACCCACAGUACUGCUGUCCAUCCAGGAAAACUUAUUAGAAGAACAUUUGUCUCCUGCUAUACAUUUGGAUAUUGUAGUAGAAAAGACCAUAGCAAAAAAGACUAUUAGAUUAAGCACAGCAUGCAUAACCUAUAAUAUAAUGGAAAGUAUAGCAAUAAUAGCACAGUGCCAAAGUCUUUGGCUGCAGCAAAUGAGGACAAGUCCAAACACAGCAGCCAUGGGCGCAAAAACAAAAGAACAAAUCUACUUACUUUUGAAAUGCCUCAUAAUAGCAGAAAUCUUCAGCGAGAUGCCCUUGCCUCCACUGCCAACCCUUAAAUAAGGUCUGGGAAGGGGUGGAUCCUGGCUCCACCCCUUCCAGUCACUCAGAUGCAUUGCAUACACCUGAGCUCCCCUGGGUUGGCCCUGCCUUCCUAUCAGGUGCUCAAUUACUGCUUCAGGGCAUGACUUAGCAGUUCCAAUACAGGAUGGCAGUCUAGUUAAAUCCCAUAAAUUGUGGAUUCUGAUACAUUUCAUUCAGGAGUGUAGGUAGGAAUUUAAGUAUAAAUUCCCCCUUUUAAUUUGAGUAUCAAAUGAAUGACUUGAGAAAGGACUGAUUGCUGCUAUAGGGAAGACAUCAUAUAUUUGGGCUUAAAUCUGUUAUCUGGUACACUGAACUAUUUUGUAAUAUUUGAAUUUAACAUGUAAAAUAGAAAACAAUAGUGAGAUCACUAGGUCCCAGUACAAGGAAGCUCUCUAUUUAUAUUCUGCUCCUUGGCCACUGUGGUCAGGCUGCAACGAGCCAUACAGAAAGACUUGGGAAUUCAGGAGCACUUGUGCAAUUCCAAAGCAUUCAGAUGAAUCUCACUAAGGAAUAAAUAAAAAAUUCAUUUGUUCAAUCACCCUCUAUACUUCUACAACCUCCUGCCACCUUCUGCAAUGUAUGAAACAACAAUUUCAAAGAAGCAGCAUAGAAAACAAAACAAAAGCUAAUGAAAUUACUAAGUCCACAGGUUGGACAAGAAAAAAUUAUUGCCUUUCUUCACACAGAUAAAUAAAAGGAAUGUGGUGAUACUUUUGCAAGAUGAAGAUAAAUGUCAUUUAAAAUAGAAAGCCCUUGACAGAUCCUAGGUUUCAGCUCUUGGUGAAUGACUUAACUUCUUGAUGUGCUUCUGAAGCAUGAGCUUCACAACAUAAAAGCUUCUUCAAGGUUCCUAUUGUAGAGGAAAAUAAGAUAUUUAUUUACUUCUACACUAAACUAUUUUAAAGUGUUCUGACUCAUCAGAAUGUGAGAGCACAAUUGCUAGUCACUCUGUUUUCAUCAGGCCAGAUCUGAAUGGAAGCCUUCUCAUCUUCAGAUAGCUUUUAGUGUAUGCUCAGACACUUGAUUCCUCAAGAUUAGGAAUCAAGAACUUGCAAUAUAUAAUCUGUCUGAGACUAGCUCAGACCAUCCUCUCAACUUUCUGUUUCAGUACAAGUAGUAGUGAUUCUGCUAUAUAUCUUCCAGACAUAUUACAAAAAAAUAAUUAUUUGGUCAUUUGUAGGAUAAAACUGUAAUGCUGCUUAUUAAUAUCCUUAGAUUCAACAAAGUUUCAAAGACUUUCUUUCAUGGAAAUAUAGAUUUCAAGGCCAGGAGGGCCUUGAUUUUGUCUGUGAUUAGCUAAUUCUGCUUCCUUUUAUAUUAUUUUCAGACAUUUUAAUUGCAGUUGUAAAUUGUUUUAAAAUUCAACAGUCAUGCUUACUGAAAAAUUAAAAAAUAAGGAACACUAGCACAGAUGCAUAUGUUUUCAUAUAUAUGUAUGCUGUGGGUAAACUAGUGAAAUCAAUAGUUUAAAGAUUUAGCAAUAAGUGAGUGAAAUCACUAGUUAAGUAUUUUUUGUGAUUGGUUGUGUGCAUUACAAAACAAAGAUUAAAGGACUUGGCAGAAGUCUUGCUCUUUGAUACCCUUUCACUUUCUAUUUCCUUUGUCCUUGGAGAUUGUCAUAAUGCAGCUUUGUGCUUUUUCAGCUAGACUUUGCCAGAUGUCUACUUCUUGUAUAUAUUUGGAGUUAAGCUUAAUUUAAUUGUGUCCCAAUUCAAGAGUAUCCCUAUGCUGGCAAGUUGAUUAAGCAUGGUGGUAAUUUUAAUUAUCUUCUUAUCUCUCACUGGAGUGCAGUUAGUGGAGCUGAUGAAGUUAACCCCAUAGAUAUAUUUUUUUUUUUAAAUGGGGCCUCAGACAAGAAGGAUAAAGCUUUCUUUUCAAAAGGAAGGAUUGGUCUUCACUUGUCUAAAGCUGUUUCUUCUCUACUCCUCUAUCCAUCAGCAAAUGACUUUCUUCGGAGGGCCAUGGCAUUACAGUUGGUUCACCUUUAUCACUGGCCUUUUUUCCUUGUUAGUUUUGUACUUGUUUGUGAUUCAUUGCUGUAUUUUACAUAUGACAGUGCAAGUUGGCAGCUUAUGGUUUUAUUUUCAUUAUUUUUGACCAGAUGUUUCCCUCUCUACAUGACUGAUUCUAUUCUGUGGGUACAAUGAGUAUAACAGAAAUGGCACAAAGCCAGCGUUUAUAAGAUACCAGUUAGUGCCAGUAAAGACUUGAGGAAGCACACUGUCAGAUUUGAAUGCCACAUUCAUGGUGAAAUCAUACAGAUACACGGGGCUAACAUUUCAUUUAAUAACCACAUUAAGAUACCAUUUUCAAGCAUUAUACUUAAGUGCCUUGUAACUUGUUUAAUUUUCUUUCUGAAAAUAUAUCAUCGGAAGCCAGUAGGAGUAACAGCGGCAUAAUUUAAAUGUCACUCUGCUUCCAAUAAUGACUUUCAUAUUCAGGCAUUCUACUCCACUGACAAAACUCGCACCUCUGCUAGAGCGUUUCUGUUCAUACAGCUCUGUUUUCAGCCAGGCGUGCGCAGAAGCUUGAGUGUGCUUCUAUAUACUUAAUCUGGGUUUUAAUUAACACACAGAAAAACAAUAGCUUUGAGCGAACAGAGAGGAACUCUAUAAAUGGGAAGGUCAUUCACAAAACAAAGGAAAAAGGUCCUUACUGUAAAGAAAACCCAAUAUGCAGCAUCUGAAGUUUUCUUGCAUUGUUUGAAAAUCAAGCCAAUUGCAGACUUUCUGCACAUCUCAGAUCAUUAAUAUAUACAAAAGGAUCCCUGCUUGCCUCACAGAUACGCAUGCUCAGCAUUCGUCUGCAGAGAUUUUCAGCUUGCCCUGAAACUCCAUCCUGGCAAAAUGUCUGACACGCAUCCCAGAGCACUUCAGUUUAAGGUAAUAGAAGAAAUAGACCCUCAUACAUAUAUAAAUAUAUUCUCUUGUGCCCUCAGAGGCAAAAGGGUGGCUGUAAUGAUCCAGCAGCACAAUCCUGACUUUUUUUUUUUUUAGUCUAUUAAAUGAACACAAGAAAGCUCAGCUUGUUCACAUCCAAGGACACCAUGGGAGAGAGCAAAAACUCAGCAUAAUUUGUAGACUUGAAACUGCUCAUUUCACCAUAAAACACUGUAUAACAGACAUACCAAGAGUGACAUAGAGCAUCCUCUUGAACAGCAAAAGGAAGCAACGUAUAUCAGCUAAGAUGGAUGAGUGAAAGAGAGUACUUUCUCCAGCAGAAAUUUAGGCAGGAAGAAUAUCAUUACUGACAGCACAUUCUCACCUCUGGGAUCAAACUCGCAUUCCUGUGCGGCAUUGAAACUACCAUAUGAAUUUCCUGAAUUCCUCCAUUUUGCAUCUCAUUUACAGAAAGCCAGCUCCGGUUAUACAAAGACACAAACAUACUCUAAGAGGUUCCUUCAGGCCUAAGAGAUAUUUGUUCAAGUUAUUGAUUCCUCAUUACAAUUUCUGCCGCCCCUGAGAUAUCCAUAGAGAUCUAACAUUAGAGUACUGGCCGGUACUCUUGCUUCACUUCUAAGAGCUGAUGUGUUUACAUCUUAAGGGAAUAUUGAUCUACAACAAAUCAUCUUUUUCAUUUCAAGUGAGCUGAAACUCCAGUAGAGAGAGACUGGACAGCAAAAAACUUUGCUAGUGCUUAUGACAAACAUCAGAAUAUAAUAAUAUAUAGCUUUAAAGACUUACAAAGUAAACCCAAAAUUUGUUUGCACAUAUAAUAAUAGAGGGAAGUUCAUAAAUGAAAAAUAGAAUGGUAUGGUACCUCUUUUUUGAGAGAUCUCAAGUAACAUCUGGCACAACUCACCCUUUAAAAUAUCAUUACUGUUAAUUUGUUUAUGAAAGACUUCGGAGGCUAGAACAAAAAAGGGGAAGUGAUGAAAAAUAAAACCACUGAAAAGCAUCUUCUCUUCUUGCUGGUAAAAAGAUUUCAGAACAGGUGUUUUUGGCCUGUUACUGCUGCCGUCAGUCAGUAUCAAAAGCAGUUGGCAAUGCUCUCAUCAUGCAAGAAUUCCAAUCAGAUAACUCAGUAUAUUCUAAUUACUGUAGUAACACCUGUUGUAGUCCUAAAUGACUAACUUAUCACAGCAGACAGGCCUGCCUUCUCUUUAGGUUUCAUUGACUCUUAAAUUUCUGCUUCCUCUAAUUGCAUGUCUAGCUUACCAAACAAAUGUUGUAGUCCACAUUUAUUCUUUGCCAUCUCAUGCUUUAAUCCUCUGUACGUUAAUGGUUUGCUGCCAUCUCUCACCUACACUGUGAUUAUGUCUAUCCCAGUUCAGUCCAAGAUAGCAAACUGUCUUUUCUAUUCACAUUAGCGCUUGGCCAAGUGAUUCAUCCAAAUGAUGACUUUUUAGGCUGGCUAUACCAGUGAUAUCCAUAUACAGGUACUUAUUGGGUGCUACCACAAAAAUGUCAUUUCUAAAAACCUGUUUCUUUGCUAUUGAGCCCCAUAUAAAAUACAAGGUUUUUUUCCACAGUAAACAGCUCUUCUAUCCUUUCAUUUACACCUACCAAAGGCAGCUGCCAAUCACUUUCCAAAGUUGUUGCCAAGCACAAAUUGUGGCACUGAAUUGACUCAUGUUGCUUCACUCGGGGAUACACCAUGCAUCACUUUUUUUCUGAUCUGGACCAAUUCAAAUAAUUUGGAGAGAAAUAAAAAUUGCUAGUUUGAUUUCAGCAGAUUUAGGAUCAUAUGCCUGAAAUGUCAUACUUUGCUGUGUAUAGUGACAAUUAACACACAUCAAGGUAUGCAUAAAUGCACACUACAUCUUGCUUUUGCAAGCACAGUGGUCAAGAUCAGGAAGUAAAUUAAUGAAUCUAAGAAACUAUAAAAAAUGGGAGUAUAUUUCUGCAGUUUUCCUUUUGCAAGUGCCAUGUGAAUUUUACUUCGAGUAUUUAAAUCUUUUGCUGAUCAUGUCAUUGCUAUAGUCAAUGCAGAACUGCUCUCUGCAACAGUACCUAACAGCAUACACAUCCUUUUUACACUAUGACUCUGAAAUCUAGAAACUGUUUCUCUUGCAUGAUCAUGAUGGAAAUCUAAUACUCUGGUAGACACUGUAAGCUUUAGUUAAUCAUUUCAGUUUCAUGAAUUUAGCCAUGUACACUGAUUUUCAUGAGAACAAAAACAGUUGAAUUCUGUUAGUGUGAAAUUUCUCUCACUUGAAAGUUUCCACAUGGAUACUAUGAUAUUAUGAGAAAUUCAGAACUUUAGUUGUGCAUUUGGAAAAUAUGUAAAACAUCAACAGUCUGAGUGCAGCAGGAUCACAGAUUUUUCCCUCCGUAUAAAUAGCAUACUUCCAGAGCACAAAGCUUGUAGUUGCAAAUUCCAAUAACUUAAACUUGAGACUGACUAUAAGAAAACAUUAAAAACUUAUAUCACUAAACUGAACUGCCUUAUUAGACUCAUCAGAAAAAAUAUGUUUUAGUUCCCACUUAUUUAGGUAUCCUUCCUUGUUCUUAGAAAUAAAAGUAAACCUAGAGCCAUAAUGAAUGAUCACUUCCAGAGGAGAGGAACUUAAGUUUUGGACCACAGCUGGGGAGAACCCUAAUUGUUUAAUGAUAUUUUACAGCUAGAAGAUUGUAUCCCUUUUGUCCAGUUAUUUCUCCAAACUCUCCUGUCAUGUAUAUUUUAAAUACUUUCUGCUUAUGAUAUCCAUCUACAUUUUUGAGUGAGGUCUCUUUGUAUGAAUGCCUUUCUAUCUGCCCAGCUACUUUCAUCUAAUGUUGACUUAACACUUUGCAUAUUCUUUAGAACACAUAUUGUUAAGAUGCAGCUGAGUCACUAAGUUUAAGCUUGAGACUGCUUGAUCAGUAAUAAUAUCUGUGCUGAUCAUGACUCAAGUCAUGAUUCAAGUUAUUUUAGUUUGGAUUGUUAAAAUUUGUCACCGAUAUCAAUUAUCAGGAGGGCCAAACAGUUUUAGUUCUAGAUGUGAAAAAUGCCACGACUACAGCUAAAGUGGGGGACUAAGACUGCCUUUCAGCCAGCUGUGGCUUGCUGCUCCCUCUGGAAAUUGCGUGCAGGGCAUGUUGCUGUGGCCGAGUUGCUCCUGGCCAGACAGCCUUGGGUUGAUCUGGGUGGGGAGACAUUUGUUAGGACAAAUGCUAAGUACCAAGUAGAGUUUUGAAUCAAUCCUCUGCCAAUUAAGCAUAUGAUUAAAUUACAUAAAAAGAGUGAGAUCAAACUUACUACAGUUUGGAAGAAAGGCUGUUUUCCAUAGCAAAAGACUACGCUUCUAUCUAUUGUCAACUUUCUUUUUGAAGGUCCAGAAUGAAUUUAAUAGAACAUACCUAAGCUUUCAAAGUAAAGAAUUCAGAGGAGGUUUUUUUAUAGAUUCAUGCACAAAAGUACAAUUGCUCCCCUGGAGCAGAUUUAUUUAUUUCUUUAUUAAUCUGGAGAUUUAAAAGAUUACCCGCUCUUUAAAUCAAUCCAGGCUGGUUUCUCUUCUCUUUCUCUUUCCUUCUCUUCUCUUGCUCAUUUUGACAUUGCCUCUGAAUUGAACACUGGGCUCUGGUGAUGAUCGGCAUGGAGUGCUAUUGUGAUACCAGAGGUGGGAUUCCUGCUGAAAGAAUGGCCAUGGCAGUUACACACAAUGACCCAAAACAUUUUCACAUGCACAUACAACACACAGUAGCCUAGGAUAAGAAAAGACCUCAUUAGUCACAUAAAAAAAUUAUGUUUAUAAAAUCACUAUGUAACAAAAUAGGCCAGUUGUUUAAAUGAUUGGAUUCUACAAGGGAAAAACAAGGGCACCUCCUUUGCAUACAAGCACUUUCUGUUCACAGUUCUAGCAUUACAUUUUUUUUUUCUUGUGGUUUGCCUAUUUAUACAGCUGAUACAUUUUUUCCUCUAUGUUUAAGGUGACUGUGUUUUACACAUGCCAAAGCUUUUACAUGAUUGUAUAAUUUUUUUUUCCCUAAUCUAUUUUGUUACCUAUGUGGAUAAAAUUAAUAGAGAAUGCUGACUUAUUUAAUAAACUUUAUUAAGCCUUUGAGGAAACUUCAAUGUACUCAUAAAGAAGGCAAUACAGAAUGUAUUCACUCUAUCAUGACACAGAAAUUACAAUUCUAAGCUAGAAAUAAAUGACAUUCUAGAAAAAGCAGAAGGAACAACAUAUAAGGAGUUAAUAAUGAACAACUUGUCUUCAUUUUCAGACCCUUUAAUCCUGCUAUUGUGCAGUUUUCACACAGUGCUAAAUUGAAUUACUGCAUCAUUUUUUACAAUUUCUUCGUACAGUUGACCCAGUUUAUAGCAGGUUUGAAAGCAUUAUCAUUGCUUAAGGUUCAAAGAUGCUACCGUGUAUUGCAUUACAAGUCAAUCUCUGCAGAAGUAUUUUGAUGUGAUUUUGCUUUCGGAUAUAGAAGAGCAGAUAUCCAAGUGAAGGAUGGUAUUUCAUUUUAUCAUAACAAUGUCGCAUAAUACUUUUUUAUUCAAUAUGUAUAGUCCCAUUUUCCUUGUAUUUUUUUCUCUAACUUUCUUGGUCUAAUAAAGUGAAUCUCCAG